rnacentral:rRNA from 1 species
CCUACGGGCGGCAGCAGUGAGGAAUAUUGGUCAAUGGCCGAGAGGCUGAACCAGCCAAGUCGCGUGAGGGAAGACGGCCCUACGGGUUGUAAACCUCUUUUGUCGGGGAGCAAAGCGAACCACGUGUGGUUCAUUGAGGGUACCCGAAGAAAAAGCAUCGGCUAACUCCGUGCCAGCAGCCGCGGUAAUACGGAGGAUGCGAGCGUUAUCCGGAUUUAUUGGGUUUAAAGGGUGCGUAGGCGGAACAUUAAGUCAGCGGUAAAAUCGAGGGGCUCAACCCCUUUAAGCCGUUGAAACUGGUGAUCUUGAGUGGGCGAGAAGUAUGCGGAAUGCGUGGUGUAGCGGUGAAAUGCUUAGAGAUCAUACAGAACACCGAUUGCGAAGGCAGCUUACCAAGCUACUUCUGACGUUGAGGCACGAAAGCGUGGGGAGCAAACAGGAUUAGAUACCCCAGUAGUC